rnacentral:lncRNA from 1 species
GAAAAAGGAAAAGAUGAGGAGGUUCUUGAGAGGCUCUUCAAGCAGUAACCCCAAGGAGGACGAGAAGAACCACCCCAAGUACGUAGUCCCUCGAGUCACAGAAGUUCGAGCGUGCGAGUGGCCAAGUGAUGAAUUUUUGCGCGCCGCCAGACUUUAUGAAGACUUUUAUUACUUGGUGUAGAACGCAGGUCUUACUGCGUUUGUUGAAUAUAACUGCCCACAGUAUCUCCUCCUCACCAAUAUUUUUGUUCAAAGCUUCAACUUUUAUCCGAGGAAGAAUCCUCCCAUGGUUGAGUUCAUGAUAUACGAUGUUCCCCGAUGUUCCCCAGUGCAUGACGCUGCAGGAUUUUUGC